rnacentral:rRNA from 1 species
GCCGCGGUAUUUUGACCGUGCGAAGGUAGCAUAAUCAUUAGUCUUUUAAUUGAAGGCUUGUAUGAAGGGUUGGACGAGAAAUAAGCUGUCUUUAUUGGAAAAAUAGAAUUUAACUUUUAAGUGAGAGGGCUUAAAUGUUCUAAGGGGACGAUAAGACCCUAUAAAGUUUGACAUUUUAUUCAUUAAAAAAUAAAAUAAUUAAUUAAUUUUUAUUAGCGGGGAUAAUGUUUUGUUGGGGCGAUUAGAAUAUAAAAAAUUUAACUGUUUUAUAUUAAUACAAAGUUGUUUGAGUGUUUUGAUCCUUAAUAAAGGUAUUAGAGUAAAUUACUUUAGGGAUAACAGCGUAAUUUUUUUUGAGAGUUCUUAUCGACAAAAAAGUUUGCGACCUCGAUGUUGAAUUAAAGAAUUCUUUAUAGCGCAGAAGUUAUAAAAGAAGGUCUGUUCGACCUUUAAAUCUUUACAU